rnacentral:lncRNA from 1 species
GGGAGGCCCGAGGAGGCAACCCACCCAGAUGCACUGAAAGCUGCCUUGGCCGAGUUCAUAUCCAUGCUUAUCUUCGUCUUCGCAGGAGAAGGAUCGGGAAUGGCCUUUAACAAGCUCACCAACAACGGAGCCGCCACUCCCGCCGGCCUCAUCGCCGCCGCAAUCGCUCACGCCUUUGCUCUUUUUGUGGCCGUGGCCGUUGGCGCCAACAUCUCCGGAGGCCACGUCAACCCCGCUGUCACCUUCGGCGCCUUCGUCGGAGGAAACAUCAGUCUCCUUCGUGGUAUCCUUUACUGGAUAGCUCAGCUCCUUGGAUCCGUCGCCGCCUGCGCCCUUCUCAAGUUCGCCACAGGCGGCUUGGUGAGUUUGCUUGUUUACCGUCAUCCAAAAGUUGGUUACGGUAGUAGUUGUGUUUCGUUCUAUUCUGUUAGCUAAAAAUAUUUGCUUCUGUUUCGGUGCAUCCAGACCACCUCAGCCUUCGCACUGUCGUCAGGCGUCGGAGUGUGGAACGCGUUCGUUUUCGAGAUCGUGAUGACCUUCGGGUUGGUGUACACCGUGUAUGCCACGGCCGUUGAUCCCAAGAAGGGAAGUCUUGGAACAAUCGCACCCAUAGCGAUCGGUUUCAUCGUGGGCGCAAACAUUUUGGCCGGGGGGGCUUUCGACGGAGCCUCCAUGAACCCAGCAGUCUCCUUCGGUCCUGCAGUGGUGAGCUGGAGCUGGGACAACCACUGGGUGUACUGGGCAGGACCUCUGAUCGGCGGUGGGCUGGCUGGCCUCAUCUACGAUUUCUUCUUCAUCAGCCACAGCCACGAGCAGCUUCCAACCGCAGAUUACUGAGAGGGGAACUUGGUAGUGGGUUUGCAUUGCAUUUGCAUGGGUGGGAAUGAAAAGAAAGAAA